CAGAGGACGGUGGUCUUGAUUAUGAUUCCCCUGGGGUGACUGCCUUUAUCAAUCAUGUUGUUGCCUGAAGAUGCACAUAGAGAUGCUCCUCAGUACAGCAGCAUGUCCUGAAGGAGCGUCCUGGUAAUUUCUAGGUGCCAAAUAUUUAAGUUCAGAUCUGCAAGUUUUAAACUCUGAAUGGAAGAUUAAUGUGUCAUAUACGAAUACCACCUUAUAUAAUAAUUUUCAUUGUUUGAAGAAUUUUUAUAAAUAUUAAGAACAUAACCCAUAGUAGUAUCUCUGUGGAUAUUGCCCUUCUGUAUGCUGAGAAGAGAUGUAUGGGAGUUCCUUAUUAGAGGCUUUCACCCAAAGAAUGGAAAAUUGAAGUAAAAAGAGACAGAUGGAUCAAGGUGGAACACUGCUUAUUUCCAUGUAAGAUGAAAUGGACUGGCCAAGGAAGGGUAAAGGGUUUGCAGCAUGGUAGUGGCAUUGGAGUACAACAGGUCAAUCUAUCUACAUCAAGCCAAUGAAAGGGAAAAGCAGACAGAAUAAACUGAUUUUCAUUUCUUAUGGUGUGUUAUGGCAGGAAUUCUACAAAAACAGACAUUGUGCUUUCGUGGCUUGCAGUUAAAUGAAAAGACAACCCAGUGUUUCUGAGAAAAUGAGCCAUGUUCUAGAGUUGGAUUUUUGCCUACAUCUUUUUGCCUUUUGUAGUGAAGGAGCUGUGUGUCACCUGCUUCUGUCCCAUUAGGCCCUGUCCCUCCUGACUACUAUUAUGAUCAGAACAGCCAUUCUCAAAGUUUCCCUCUCAGAGGCUCAAAAUGCACAUUUGGGCUGUGAUUCACCUGCGGCAGUAGAAUAUCCCAAGGGCUGGUGAUCCCACUUCUGAAUGCAACCUUUCUUACAGCAUGUGGACAGUAAUUGAAGAUCUGCUGAUGUACAACAUGCACAAGAGCUGGACGUGAGUAGCAGCACCCGGGUGUGGAUCUUCCCAGGCCAUGGCCACAGCCCUGUAAAGAAACAGAACCCCUCAGAAAUAUUGUGUGGUACAAAUAGUACGUUGUGUGCUUUAGGGCUGUUCUUCGCUAUGGAAGCUUAAUGAGCUUGAAGGAAGUACAGUGUCUGCCUUGCAGCCUGUCUAUUCCAUUUAUUUUCUUAUUCUGAAGAUAAAACAAUGUUGUAUGUAUAUUCUGUUGUGAUCAUAUGUGAAGAAAAUUUGUUUUGAUCACUUAAAAUGGAAAGAAUACUAGCCACUAAAGAGAAUAGAAUAGUUUUUCAAAGAACCAUUGAAAUCAGGUUAACAAAAUGGGAUUAACAAUUUUUUCUUCCUGAAAGUUUUCUCAUCUAGAUUUAUCCUCUGUUAUCUGCAAAGUUGUGUGCAUCUCUAAAAUCCAUCAAGUCUAGUUUUGUUGACAGGCAAUAUUGUUCCUCAUUUGGAAUUUUGAUUUGCUUCCUGUGAGAUUUUGUGAUAUAUAGUACAAGUGCAGUUAUAACUUAAACUUGAAAAAUCCCACCCUCCAAGUGGAUGUAAGUGAAGAUACUCUAAAUCAUGGGAAUAUUCCUCCAUAUACUGUAUUUUUGGGCUUUUCACUAACCCAUGUUGGUGAAAAAAAAAUGUGAGAAGCUUCAGAUUAGAUUGAUUCCCCAAAGUUUUCUUUGCAAUAUGCUGUUUUCAAUACCCACAAAAUGUAGGUACAAGAAUGUUAAUGUCCUUGAAACUUUAAUUUCUUCUGUGGUAACCUUAAAAAGCUGUGUCAUCCGCAUACUGUCUCAUGGAUGCCAGAGCAACAACAUUCCUUUAACAAUUAACAGAAUUGUUAAGAAAGAUAAGUGACAAAAAUAACAGCCCAAAAAAUUGUCGUCUUUUGGAGAACAUGGGAUUCCAAUGCUUUUAAAUUAGUUUCAGCUCUGUACUUGGCAAUAGCUCUUUUUCUUCAUUUCUUUUUUUUUUUUUCUUUUAGUUUAGCUCUGUGUUCUCCUUAAUUGUCUUUACUAAUGCAAACAGCAGUCCUCAUUCAAUGCAUAGAAAUCUAUUAUUAGAUUAUAUGCAUAUGAAUAAUGCCUUUGCUUUUUCCAUUCUGCUUUUUUGGCAUGCAGGAAUUGGAGUGAAAGAGAAACUAGACUGGCAAUAUCCUUUCUUGCUGUUUAAUCUAAAAACAUUAUAAAGUCAAUAAUAUAACAGGAUUUAUUUCCUUUCAGCAUAUACAAAAGCAAACAAACAAACAAACGAAAACCAAAAAAGUUGUUUACAAUGACAUUUUACCACUUACCUCCUUUUUAUACUAUGAGAUAACACAAUAUUUUGUAUGUAAGAAGACUGUUUCUUCCCUUCAUACAUCCUGCAGAAAUAAUAAAAACAAAUAGUUCCU
rnacentral:lncRNA from 7 species